rnacentral:rRNA from 2 species
AGGUGCGAAAGCGUGGGGAGCAAACAGGAUUAGAUACCCUGGUAGUCCACGCCGUAAACGAUGUCUACUUGGAGGUUGUGCCCUUGAGGCGUGGCUUCCGGAGCUAACGCGUUAAGUAGACCGCCUGGGGAGUACGGCCGCAAGGUUAAAACUCAAAUGAAUUGACGGGGGCCCGCACAAGCGGUGGAGCAUGUGGUUUAAUUCGAUGCAACGCGAAGAACCUUACCUGGUCUUGACAUCCACAGAACUUUCCAGAGAUGGAUUGGUGCCUUCGGGAACUGUGAGACAGGUGCUGCAUGGCUGUCGUCAGCUCGUGUUGUGAAAUGUUGGGUUAAGUCCCGCAACGAGCGCAACCCUUAUCCUUUGUUGCCAGCGAUUAGG